UUAAUCAUUGUCUCAUUGAAUUAGACACCUCUCCAUCAAAAUAUUAUAACUUAUUUAAUAAAAGAUUUUAAUGUUGUCUAUGUAAGACCAGUUAUGAGUUUAGAUAAUUGAUUAGAUAAAUCGAAAAAUUAGAUAAAUUCCAAAAUCUUGGGAUAGUACCGACGCAACAGGUUUUACAUAAUUUUGUAUAUCCUUACAAAUUUGUACCGUGUUUAAUUAGAAUCCGUUACACGCGUACAACGAGAAUGGAGUACUUUGAUGAUAAAUUUUAAAUUAAACUGAGCGUUCUUUUGCUUUUAAAAAUAUAUUAUCGAUAUUAUAGCUUAUCACUAACGUGAAAAAAGUUUUUUGUAAAUUGACAAAUCCAAAUUUUGCGAUAGAAAUUGUGAGAAAAGUCGAUUGAAGAAAAAUUUGGAAGACAUCUUUUACUGAUACUAAGAAUAGAACUACCCUAUCAGUAGUACUGUCGACUUGUAGCCAAGACGUAUAUAGAAUGAUCGCCGUCAACGGUUUGUCAUUAACGUAAUGAGGAAGUCAGCUUAAUAUCAUCGUCUUUGUGGUGACAAAUUUGCUUACAAAGCAUGUGGGCAACGCUAAGAGUAUGAUACAUGAUAUAUCUUAAAAACUUGGAGCUAUCAAGAAAAAUAUAAAUCUUUUAUAAUUUUUCAGGUGAAGAUAAGUAGCAGAUACAUUAUAUUCUGAAGCUAAUCAUUUAUAAGAGAAAUGAAAGUGCACUAAACUAUCAAAUGGCGAAUGGCCAAGAGCUUAACGGAGAACACUCUUGCACUCCAUUAACACAAUCCGCGGACAUGGAGGCUGCAAGCUGCACCCCAUUCAUCGAUACGACACUUGGCAUAUCAUUUACGGCACACUCCGCGUAAUCCAUCGAUCGAUCAUCCUCAUGAGAUCCAACGUUGUAGUACGAUAUGUCUUGGCAUAGAACCUUCGACCACUAAUCAAGCUAUCACGUCUAGAUAACAUGUUGCGUUCUUCCUUGAUCUUCCCGUAAGAUAGAAAUACAAGUAUAUAAGUUUGAAUAUUAUGCUUCGCGAAAAAUUCCAUGAAAGAUCGUUGUUUUUUUCUGUGUUCGCGGUUAAGUUUUACGAGCUAAUAAUGGUACCGCGUU